AGCCAUGCGAGUCAUGGGGCGCGCUCUGCGCGCACCGGCGGACGGCUCAGUAACACGUCGGUAACCUACCCUCGGGAGGGGGAUAACCCCGGGAAACUGGGGCUAAUCCCCCAUAGGCCUGGGGUACUGGAAGGUCCCCAGGCCGAAAGGGGCUCUGCCCGCCCGAGGAUGGGCCGGCGGCCGAUUAGGUAGUUGGUGGGGUAACGGCCCACCAAGCCGAAGAUCGGUACGGGCCAUGAGAGUGGGAGCCCGGAGAUGGACACUGAGACACGGGUCCAGGCCCUACGGGGCGCAGCAGGCGCGAAACCUCCGCAAUGCGGGCAACCGCGACGGGGGGACCCCCAGUGCCGUGGCACAGCCACGGCUUUUCCGGAGUGUAAAAAGCUCCGGGAAUAAGGGCUGGGCAAGGCCGGUGGCAGCCGCCGCGGUAAUACCGGCGGCCCAAGUGGUGGCCGCUAUUAUUGGGCCUAAAGC
rnacentral:rRNA from 1 species